AUUGAACGCUGGCGGUAGGCUUAACACAUGCAAGUCGUGCGAGAAAGUAUCUUCGGAUAUGAGUAGAGCGGCGGACGGGUGAGUAACGCGUAGGAAUCUACCUAGUAGAAGGGGAUAGCCCGGGGAAACCCGGAUUAAUACCGUAUACCUCCUUCGGGAGAAAGAAGGCCUCUCUUUGAAGCUUUCGCUAUUAGAUGAGCCUGCGUAAGAUUAGCUUGUUGGUGAGGUAAAGGCUCACCAAGGCGACGAUCUUUAGCUGGUCUGAGAGGACGAUCAGCCACAUUGGGACUGAGACACGGCCCAGACUCCUACGGGAGGCAGCAGUGGGGAAUAUUGGACAAUGGGCGCAAGCCUGAUCCAGCCAUACCGCGUGUGUGAAGAAGGCCUUCGGGUUGUAAAGCACUUUAAGCAGGGAGAAAAAGUUAUAAGUUAAUACCUUAUAACCCUGAUGUUACCUGCAGAAUAAGCACCGGCUAAUUCCGUGCCAGCAGCCGCGGUAAUACGGAAGGUGCAAGCGUUAAUCGGAAUUACUGGGCGUAAAGCGCGCGUAGGUGGUUUGUUAAGUUGGAUGUGAAAGCCCUGGGCUCAACCUAGGAACUGCAUCCAAAACUAACUCACUAGAGUACGAUAGAGGGAGGUAGAAUUCAUAGUGUAGCGGUGGAAUGCGUAGAUAUUAUGAAGAAUACCAGUGGCGAAGGCGGCCUCCUGGAUCUGUACUGACACUGAGGUGCGAAAGCGUGGGUAGCGAACAGGAUUAGAUACCCUGGUAGUCCACGCCGUAAACGAUGACAACUAGCUGUUGGGAGACUAUGUCUUUCAGUGGCGCAGCUAACGCUUUAAGUUGUCCGCCUGGGGAGUACGGCCGCAAGGCUAAAACUCAAAUGAAUUGACGGGGACCCGCACAAGCGGUGGAGCAUGUGGUUUAAUUCGAUGCAACGCGAAAAACCUUACCUACUCUUGACAUACUUGGAGGCUCUUGUAAUGAGAGUGUGCCUUUUGGAACCAAGAUACAGGUGCUGCAUGGCUGUCGUCAGCUCGUGUCGUGAGAUGUUCCGUUAAGUCGGAUAACGAGCGCAACCCUUACCCUUAUUUGCCAGCGAUUCGGUCGGGAACUAUAAGGGGACUGCCGGUGAUAAACCGGAGGAAGGUGAGGACGACGUCAAGUCAUCAUGGCCCUUACGAGUAGGGCUACACACGUGCUACAAUGGGAGAUACAGACGGACGCUAAGCCGCGAGGUGGUGCUAAUCCUAAAAAGUCUUUCGUAGUCCGGAUUGGAGUCUGCAACUCGACUCCAUGAAGUCGGAAUCGCUAGUAAUCGCGGAUCAGCAUGCCGCGGUGAAUACGUUCUCGGGUCU
rnacentral:rRNA from 1 species